rnacentral:rRNA from 1 species
AACGAACGCUGGCGGCAUGCCUAACACAUGCAAGUCGAACGAGACCUUCGGGUCUAGUGGCGCACGGGUGCGUAACGCGUGGGAACCUUCCCUUAGGUUCGGAAUAACUCCCCGAAAGGGGUGCUAAUACCGGAUAAUGUCUUCGGACCAAAGAUUUAUCGCCUUUGGAUGGGCCCGCGUUGGAUUAGCUAGUUGGUAGGGUAAAAGCCUACCAAGGCGACGAUCCUUAGCUGGUCUGAGAGGAUGAUCAGCCACACUGGGACUGAGACACGGCCCAGACUCCUACGGGAGGCAGCAGUGGGGAAUAUUGGACAAUGGGCGAAAGCCUGAUCCAGCAAUGCCGCGUGAGUGAUGAAGGCCUUAGGGUUGUAAAGCUCUUUUACCCGGGAUGAUAAUGACAGUACCGGGAGAAUAAGCGCCGGCUAACUCCGUG